CCCGGCCGGCCGACCGGCGCGACGGGUGAAGUAACAACGUAGUACGAACUCGCCGUAGCAGGGGGAUAAGCGGAAGAAAUUCCGUCUAAUACCGCGUAACAACGUUGGGAGGCAUCUCCCGAUGUUUAAAGAUUUAUCGGCUGCGGAUGGCCAUGCGGCGCAUUAGCUAGUCGGCGGGGUAACGGCCCACCGAGGCGACGAUGCGUAGGGGUUCUGAGAGGAAGGUCCCCCACACUGGUACUGAGACACGGACCAGACUCCUACGGGAGGCAGCAG
rnacentral:rRNA from 1 species